rnacentral:lncRNA from 1 species
AUUCAUCAAGUGCACAUGAAACUGAUAGUCAAGGCCAGCUGUCGGAGAAAGGUAAUAAAUCUGAUAAUCAAGCAACGGCACAGAGUAGUAGUUCGGUUCAUGGAUGGGUGUCAGAUUGCUCAGUGGAUAAUGAACUGGCAAUAGCUUAUGAGGAGAAUAAUAGACUUAGAACAAGUCUGGAAUUGGCAGAAUCAUCAGUUUUUGAGCUUAAACUUGAAGUAAGCUGCUCAGUGGAUAAUGAACUGGCAAUUGCUUAUGAGGAGAAUAAUAGACUUAGAACAAGUCUGGAAUUGGCAGAAUCAUCAGUUUUUGAGCUUAAACUUGAAGUAAGCACUCUUCAAAGUCAAGCUAAUAAAUU